UACAGAGGUCUCGAGCGUUUGUUCGGAGUUCAUUGGGCGUAAAGGGUGCGUAGGUGGCGUGGUAAGUCUGGUGUGAAAUCCCGGGGCUCAACCCCGGAACUGCACUGGAUACUGGCCAUGCUUGAGUACUGGAGAGGAGAUUGGAAUUUACGGUGUAGCAGUGAAAUGCGUGAGAUAUCGUAAGGAAGACCAGUGGCGAAGGCGAAUCUCUGGACAGUUGACUGACACUGGAGGCACGAAGGCCAGGGGAGCAAACGGGAUU
rnacentral:rRNA from 1 species